GUUUGUGUGCUGGGCCGUGCGAACAAAGAACAUGCUAGGUACCAGUGAUUGCCCUUGUGAGCUGUUAUAUAGCUGUGGCCCAGAAAUUGAAAAAAUGGACAGUAAAUGGGCUAAACAAUCGUGUGCCUCAAACACCAACUCGAUCCUGGAGCAGUCAGCUCAGCAGAGAGCAUGGGCUCAAGCAGCUCUGUGGAGUUACACAGCUUGUGAACAGAAUACCAAUAUAGAAAAACAUGACAAUCAAACCCCACUGGGAAAUGUGGUCCAAUGCACACCCCACGUACCAAGGGGAAGGCCUAGAGAAAAUUCAGGGGUAAUAGUGGCUCUGUUCUGGGGAAACACUGUACUAACUAGAAACAAAGAAGCUUCAUGGGCAGAUGGGACUUGCUGCCAGGAAAUCAGAGAAUGUUUUUAACUAACUAACAAGGGAGAUUGAAUUUUUUUCAGACACAGAUGUUGCUGCGGGAUUGAUCACAGGUGUGGAGCACAGACAACCUCUGCAAGAACCAUCUUCUUUGAGACCAGAGGACUAAUGACAUCUGUCUGCGAACCGACGGUCCUUGCUGGGAUGAGGUACUCGGACAGCCAGACGGCAUGCAGAAGGACGCCGAGAAACCGGAAAGCGGACAACAAAUUGCAAGUUGAUGGAUCACCCUAGAAAAUAAGGAACUGUUAGAAUCAGAGACCAAUAGCAAAUUGUUAACUGUACAUUAUUGGUAUGACAUUUACACGGAUGGGUCACCAAAAGCUAAUGCUAUGCAGCACUUGAUCACAUAAUCCUGUACUUGCUACUGGUUAUGACAGCAUUGUCCUUUAUCCUUCUGUACAUGCUCUGCUUCUUUCAAAAGGAAGGAGCGCACCGACAUGCCCAGGUGAACAUCUCACAUACGCUGCUGUCCUAACUGCCGUGGUGGUUUCCAGCCGGAAGGGAUUGAGCUUACGAGCAUCCAGAGUGGUCUGCACGUCCUUGGAGAAGGUCAGUCAGGCCAGGGGGUGACUUGUGAGUGAGAGGUCCCGCUGGAGCAUGCGGCCCCAUGCAGCCACGGCCCUGGCAGCGAGUGGCCUAGGGCAGUGUGUGGCCGAAGUGUGGAAAACAGGCACUUCUGCUGCAGCUCUCUGGUGUGUGAGCUGCCAGACAAGGUCUUGCUAGCGCUUGGUUUGAGCUUGCAGAAGGAUCAAGGCUAAAGUGGAAUAGUUGUGUCUAAUAAUUAAAUGAGGAUAAACCCAAUGGGAAAACAACCAGGCGAGGCGGGACGUGAGGAACCGGGCUGCCUGCAGCAGGUAUCUCUGUCUGUAGCACUGUGUGAGGCUGUGCUUGCCUCAGUAAUGGUGUUAUGAAAAAUACAUUUAGGUAUGGCUAUAGCAAAACUGGGACCAGUGGGGAGAAAGUUGGGGGCAGGCUGUUUAUUUAGGAGGGAUUCGGGUGGGGGAGAGGCAAUGCGAGGGUGACAAAAAGGUGAACCUGAAUGAAGGAUGGUGUGUAAAACCCACCAAAGACGACCAGAGGGCACGUGCCGACGGCAGCAGUGUCACCUACAGCUGGUAGCAGACCCACGCACUGGAGGACAUCUCCUGGGAUUAUCGACCAGGCUCUCCAUCUGGUCUCGGACGUGGUGUGGAGGAGCAGACCUGCGCCUUAGGACGUACAGAGCUGCACCCUGUGCUGGCUCUGUGUGUGACUCCCUGGGUCUGAGAUCUACAGCUCAUAGCUUCGUGGCUGUGCAUAAUGGUCUGGGUAACUGAGCAGUGGUAUGUCACUUGGAUUACCCGUUACUUUUCUGUUUUGCCAGUUUCCUUGUAGUGUGUUCAUCAAUAAACAGUUUGCCUCAGG